rnacentral:rRNA from 1 species
CCUACGGGAGGGAGCAGUGGGGAAUGUUAGACAAAGGGGGAAACCCUGAACUAGCCAUGCCGCGUGUUCGAUGAAGGCCUUAGGGUUGUAAAGAUCAUUCAGAUGGGAAGAUAAUGACGGUACCUUCAGAAGAAGGCCCGGCUAACUCCGAGCCAGCAGGCGCGGUAAUACGGAGGGGGCUAGCGUUAUUCGGAAUUACUGGGGGUAAAGCGCACGUUGGCGGAUCAGAAAGUCAGAGGUGAAAUCCCAGGGCUCAACGUUGGAACUGCCUUAGAUACUCCUGGUCUUGAGGUCGAGAGAGGUGAGUGGAAUUCGGAGUGUAGAGGUGAAAUUCGUAGAUAUUCGGAGGAACACCAGUGGCGAAGGCGGCUGACUGGCUCGAUACUGACGCUGAGGUGCGUAAGCGAGGGGAGCAAACAGGAUUAGAUAGCCUGGUAGUCCACGCCGUAAACGAUGUAUGCCAGUCGACGGGUUGCAUGCUAUUCGGUGACACAGCUAACGGAUUAAGCAAUCCGCCUGGGGAGUACGGCCGCUAGGU